rnacentral:siRNA from 1 species
AGCUGAUUGGCAUCUCCUGAGCC